rnacentral:rRNA from 1 species
GAGAAAAGCCCCUUCGGGGGCCCAGUAAAGUGGCGCACGGGUGAGUAACACGUGGGUAAUCUACCCAAGGGUCCGGGACAACACUUCGAAAGAGGUGCUAAUACCGGAUAGGACCACGUCCUCUUCGGAGGAUGGGGUGAAAGGUGGCCUCUCCAUGGAAGCUAUCGCCCCUGGAUGAGCCCGCGUCCCAUCAGUUUGUUGGUGGGGUAAAGGCUCACCAAGGCUGAGACGGGUAGCUGGUCUGAGAGGAUGUCCAGCCACACUGGAACUGAGACACGGUCCAGACUCCUACGGGAGGCAGCAGUGGGGAAUAUUGCGCAAUGGGCGAAAGCCUGACGCAGCGACGCCGCGUGAGUGAUGAAGGCCUUCGGGUCGUAAAUCUCUGUCGGACGGGAACGAAAACGCGAAGGGAACAAUACCCCUUCGCUCUGACGGUACCUGUCCAGAAAGCACCGGCUAACUCCGUGCCAGCAGCCGCGGUAAUACGGAGGGUGCAAGCGUUGUUCGGAAUCAUUGGUCGUAAAGGGCGUGUAGGCGGGGUAGUAUGUCGGAUGUGAAAGCCCUCGGCUCAACCGAGGAACUGCGUCCGAAACUGCUACUCUUGAGUACGGGAGAGGGAAGCGGAAUUUCCAGUGUAGAGGUGAAAUUCGUAGAUAUUGGAAGGAACACCGGUGGCGAAGGCGGCUUCCUGGACCGAUACUGACGCUGAGACGCGAAAGCGUGGGGAGCAAACAGGAUUAGAUACCCUG